ensembl:lncRNA
CGAGCGCUCGUCACAGCAGAGAACCUGACUGCUCAUGCAGCGAGGCCAAUAAAUAAUAAAAGGUAUGUGUACACUACAUGUCUAAUUCACUUUGUCUGUGUUGCAUUACCAAUUAAAGUAGUAUCUUUAUAUUGUUGAGGCUGGUUGGUUGGUUUGGCUAACAAUGUAGCUAACGUUAGCCAUUACCAUAGAAGCACGGUUAUAAGCCUACAGCUUAUCCGUUUGGUCUGAAUUAUAUUAUAGAAUUAAUUAAACAAGUUCAUAAUGCCAAUGGGCAUAUAGUCAUGUAUAUUGAAUUUGACAGGCUAAUUUGCCAGCUAGUUUCAUGCUAGCCAGGUGAUUUGCCAGUUAGUUCCUUUGCUAGCUAUAUUAUUUUAACUGGCUAUAAACGAACGCGCUUGUUUUUCCUGAAGCUUUUAAUGUGACAUGUGAAGGCAUAACACAGUGUUUGACUGAUUAAAAUAUGUAAAAACAGUGAGAUAAUUUGAUCUGUCUUGUUAUGUGGUGACCCACAAUCGAUAAGAACAAAUUCUUAUUUAAAAUUGGCGGCCUGGCCACUUGAGUGAAGGGUUGAUGUGACACCCCAAAGUAUGUGCACAUUUUGUGUAAAGGUGUUAUACUUUAAGCAAAAGUUUCUUUUUAUUGAUGUGAACUGUAAGAUAUUUGGGACUUGAAAGUAAAUCAGUAAGGUUAGAAUAGUUUGUUGUGGUGAGAAACCAGGACUCUUAUUUUGAAAACUGAAAGGAGGACUCUGAUAUAGGCGCUGUGUGCGCGCCCGCGCCCUUACAUCUGCUGAGCAACUGGUGCGACGUGACACGGAUUUUUCCUGUUAUUUUGCAGGUAUUAUUGUUACAACAACUUGAUAAUAUGUACACGAGAUCUGUAAUGCAAAUGUAUGUUCAUACCGCAGAUAUUUUGUAUAACUUAAUGACGUUCGUGGUUGUGAAUAUGUUGAUAUGCAGACUGCCCGCCAUUUUGUGAACGCUGUAACACGAGGUGAUUGUGAAAUGCGUUUAAUUCGAUUCAAAUUGACUUCAGUUACAGGUUAUAGUGUUCAUUAUGAGUUUACUUCAAAUUUGUGUUUGGUUUAUUAAGUUAUGUAUACAUAUAACGAUCGGAUGCACUUAUUUUGCAGAACUGUCUUAUCUUUCCAACGCCUUCUGCGCGGGGUCUGUAACAUCAAGAAAUAUAUAAUAUAUUAAUAUUUAUGUGCCCUGAAGGCUAUGCUGUGAGCAGCCACAAAUAUUCUUGUGCAGUAAAAACAGUUUACAUGUAUGCAAUUUGUCAUAUGAAUUGUAUAGAGAGAGGGAGGAUUGUUUUCUCUAUAUAUUAGUGAUGCUAAAUAAAAUGGCUGGUAUCUUCACAUUGUUUUACAUUUCUGUGUCUGCAUUGCUUUUGCAUGGUGACAUAUGAAUAGUUAAUACAAUAGCAAUUGUAUUUUUGCUUAAGCUCUUUUUGUGUUUGUUUCAGAUCAAUUGACAGCUUUGUCAUUAACACUGACAGACCUUGUCGAAAGAUUUAAAGCCUGGAAUAAACAUGGUGGAGUACCUCCAUGAGGCCAAGGCAUGCAAGACAUACCCUCACAUCCUGACGCUGGGAAAUGAUCAGAGUGCAUUUCAGGCCUUCGUCAUAAUAGCUGGACAGGCCCUGGAACUAGAAACACUGCUUUGGGCCAUUGAUGUCUGCUUCAAGGCAUUCUUUGUCUUUGACAUUGAAUACCCAAAGCAGUGUGAACAUGUGUGGGAAUUCAUACAGAAUGUGAUAUAUGAAAUCUAAAAUGGUUAAGUUUAUUCAAACUAGAAUACUUGCUUGCAAGUAGAGAUAAUGGCUCUUAAAAGCAGCAUUAAGGAAUUUGAAUUUGUUCACUAGAGCUGCUGACUGUUGGCCUGUUGAAUGUUCAGCCAGUUCAAUCGAAAUUGUUUUGCUUUGAAUGUUUUCCAACCUGAGUGAACUGCACCAGUUCCACUAUAUUGUCGAUAUUAAUGUAAUAAAUUUUUUCAAAGAUUCCAUUGUUUUGUUCUUGUAUUGUUUAAGUGUUUAUUGCAUAAUAUAUGCAUAAAUCUAGCAUGUAUUCUGUUCUAGGUUUGUAGUUUCACAGUUUUAUAUGGGUAGUCUAUUGCAAUUUAUUUUCUUAAAUUGUAGUGUAAUGUGUUAAGACUUAAUCUGGCAUAUGGGUUAAUUUUACCCAUCUUAAUAUGUAGUUGAAUCAACCCAGAAUUGUAUUUAAUUUGACCCAGAAUUUAGGUACACUAUUUAACAAAUAUGUAGUUAAAUCAACCCAUAAUUGUAUUUAAUUUGACCCAGAAUUUGGGUAGAAUAUUUAACUCAUCUGUUGGGUUAAAAAUGACCAACCCAUCUUGCUGGGUCAAAUUAACUACCGUUGGUCUGGUGCAAUAUUGAUCCAGCGGUUGGGUUAUAAAACAACCCAAGGUGGGUUAUUUUUAACCCAUCAUUUUUCUGUGUGUA